AUUGCCAAUCACCUGUAUUGGAGAUCCAUUGCGCUCUCUCUCUCUCUCUCUCUAUAUAUAUAUAUAUAUAUAUAUAUAUAUAUAUAUAGAGAGAGAGAGAGAGAGAGAGAGAGAGAAGCAAGCACAAAAGAAAAAGAGAUUGUGAGAAAUCAGUGGCAGCACUUUCUCACUCUCCGUGUGUGUGUUUUUGUGGGCAUCCAUUAUGUCCUCUAUAUAUGCCCUUCAGGUGUUCCUUUUAGGUUUCUUGUUGGAGUUUUUCGUUUGGACUGUGUCCCAGUUUCUUGUUGGGCUCUUUAAUGGGGUUUCUCGAUGGGUUUGGGUUCCUCCGUUGUGGUUGUUGCCAAUCCCAGGGUUCAGCCAUGUUGGCUCAUGUUAUUGGGCCAUUGUUGUCAGGGGGUUUUGCCGGUCGCCCUAAUUGUUGUAUGGUUUCAGUUAAUGGCCUCUGUUGAUGGAUCUCUGUACUGUGCUGCUGCGAGGUUCUGCUAAUGGAAUAUUGAGGGGUUCUGUUGUGGGUCAUCAAUGUUGAGGGUCCUGCUGUUACUUGUUGUUGUGCCACUGCUGCUGAGAGGUUUUAUUUCUGUUUGUUGUUGGGUCACUGGGACAACAACUCACCAUGCAGCUCAUCUUGUGUCAACUUCCCAAAGAAGAUAACACCUGCCCACAAUCAUAGCAGCUUACCAUAAAUGAAGGUUGGAAAGAAAAUAUAGCAUGAUAAGCUAAGCUCGGAUAGAAGCCAACGACUGAUCACAACUCCCCAUAUAUGAAUUAUGGAAAGAAGGUAACGCAUGAUCAAGAAAUGGAUUGACACCACACGCUGCCACGCAACUACAAAUCAGGAACAAGGUUGUGGCAUUGAAUCCAUGCAGAAAUUAUUGUGAAAGAAAACCCUUUAAAUAAGGCUGAAGUGUUAAAGGAAAUCCUUGAAGUCAAAGAGAAGAGAUAAUGGCUAAAAUAUAGCAAAUGGUUAUGAGUCUUCGGUUGUGAUCAAAUAUACACAAACACAGAAAAUCUUUUGCAAUCUAGUAUGGAUAUUAGGAUAUCCUUUAAUGUUGUUACCAUAAUUAUCUCAUUUGUAAACUAUAUAUAUAGAGCUAUAAACCAUUGAGAAAUAUAUCUUCUGACCUGAGUUAUUCUUUUAUGGUAUCAGAUCCCUCUUCUUUUAGAGGACUAAUAGCAUCGUCUUUCUCCUCUGUCCUUGUUACUCAAUGGAAUUAGACUUGGGCAUCGGGCCGGCCCGACCUGAUAAGAUCCGGCCCGAGUAGCCCGGCCCGUUAACUGGCGGCAAAUCUCCACUUCUUCGUUCGUCCUGUCUCUGUUGAUCUUUCUUUUCUGCUUUCUGCUUUUGUUUCUCUCCUUUUUCUGUCUCUGUCUCCCCUCUCGGUUUUGAUCAUGCCUAUGUUGAGAGGGUUCGAGUCCUCGUCUGGGAUCUCGGGUAACAAUUACGGCGUGUACACCGGAAUCAUGGGGUCGCUCGCGAGAAGCAACAACGGAGGGGCCGCAACGAGGGUCCAGUACCGACCCCAUGAUUAGGGUUCCGACUGGUCCUUGGUUCUGCCCUAGCUGCUCUAGCCAGAAAACUUCACGAGUCUUACGGCUUAGUCAAACGAAAAGAAUCAAUUUCUUCCGCAUACAGAAACCAGAUAACCAAGUCGAGAAAUUUUCAAUCGAUGCUCGGAAACGGAGGAGGCGAUCAGGGCAAUUGGUGACUUCAAAGAAGAAGAGGAGAUUGCUGCCAUUUGUUUCGAGUGUGGAACCAGAGAGAAGAUUGGAACAGAUGCAUUCGCUUGCUGUAGGUUUGAAGGCAUUGAAGAUGCAAUUCUACGAUGACCUGACCUAUGUACCUGGAAUGGCUCCCAGGUCGGCCAAUGCAACGAAAUUGGAGAAGGGUGGAAUGCAGGUGCUUAUAUUUUCUUGUUUUCUUUUAAGAUUGAUGUUGCUUUUCCACAGACGUUUGAUAUCUGCUGGAUGACGACGGCGACGGCGGUGUUGGGCUGUUGGCCACGAUGAUGGAGGUCUUGAGUCGGAGAUCCUCGAUGGCAGCAAUGAUUGGAAGGAAACGAUGCACUCUCCUCUUGCUCCUCGUCCCCAUCGCCGCCUCCGGCCUUCUCUCCUUCUCCUCCCUCUGCUUGCUCGUUGACGUCGACCUACCUAACGGGGGCCUUCUCUCCUUCUCCUCCCUCUGCUUGCUCGUUGACGUCGACCUACCUAACGGGCCGGCCUGGCUUAGAAAGUGAUAACCAGGCCCGGCUUGUUAAGAUAUUGGGCCGGGCCAGGCUCACUAAAGUUGAGCCGGAUAGAAAAAAAGUGCGACCCGGACCCGGCCCAUACCAGGCUGGGCUGGGCCGGCCCGGCGGCGGCCCGGCCCGACGCCCAGGCCUAAAUGGAAUGCCAUCAGCACUUUAGUAUCUGUUAAUUUCAAUGGAAAUAACUAUCUUCAUUGGAGAAGUCAGAUGGAACCAGUGAUGGAAUCUCAAGGUCUUCUUGAAUAUGUGAAUGGAACUAUCUUGGCUCCAUUAGAAACUAUCUCCACCAAUGGAAAAACUAAUCACAAUCCCGAGUAUAAGCAACGACGCAAAUCUGAUCGUCUUUCUCUCAGCUGGAUAAAAGCUACAGUGAAUGACUUUGCUCAUGGUCAAAUUGUUCGAGCGUCAUCAGCAAGAGAAUAUUGGACUACUUUGGAAAAAGCGUAUGGCUCCUAGUCUCCACUGCGAGUCAUGCUUCUCAAAAAGGAACUGCAUUUUAUAAGAAAGGGGUCUAUGAGUAUGAGGACAUAUCUAGAGAAAAUCAGAUUGUUGGCAGACACGUUAUCUGUUGUAGAUCAACAAACAACCGAUAGUGAUCUUGUAGAAAUCACUAUGAACAACCUUCCAGGAAAACAUGAAAGCUUCAUAACUCUUCUUACUGGUGAAACCCACCACUCAACAAUCACCUUCGUAGAGCUGGUUGAUCUUCUUAAUCAAGAAAAAAGACUUGAUUUACUCAAGUCUCCUUUGCUUGAAAGAGAUAUCUCAAAAUAUAACACAGUUGGUGAACCACACUGCAUUCAAUGCCUUCCACAACCGAGGAAGAGGGUGUGGAUUUUAUCACUGUUAUGGUGGCAGCUGUAUUGAAGGUCGGUUAUAAGGACACAGACAAGAACAACAAGCUCAAAAUCAAGGUCAAUGUAACACCAACAAUCAGUCCCAAUGCAACUAUGAUUCUACAAAAGGCUAUCAAAAAAAUCCUAUUAUAUGUCAUUAUUGUGGCAAAAAGGGACAUUCUGCUAGAUCAUGCUAUGUUAUUCCUCAGGUGUUCUCUGCUAUGAACACUAAAAAAACUGCAGAAGAAUAUACAAUGCCAAUGAUAACAUGAUGAAAAAUAAAAGAACACAUGCUGGAUCGAGUGGCAUUAUGAUCGGUAAUGGCUCUUAUCUGUCUAUUUGUCAUAAAGGAGACUUAUCUAUUAAUAUGGAAGGAAAUCUUUUAUGCUCAAGAACUCAUUACAUGUUCCUAAAAUCACUCAUAAUUUAUUAUUUGUGGGAAAGUUUACAUCUGAUAAUAGUUGCAUUUUUGAGUUCUUAUCCCAUGAAUUUAUUAUAAAGGAUCUGCAGACGAUGAAGGUACUACUUCGGGGGCAAGCAGCCUAAUGGACUAUAUCUGAUCUUUGCAUCAAGAGAAGACACAAGUAGAGGAGCAACAACGUUCAGUAGUUGGUUUCCAUUAAGUUCUAAUUCUGUGAAUUUUUCUUUGUGGCCUACGCGAUUAGGCCAUAAAAGUAAAACCAUUGUUAACUUUCUCAAUUCGCAUAACAUUGUUUCAAUAAAAUGUUCUAAAGGUU